rnacentral:tRNA from 1 species
GGAGGCGUGCGGGUGCCUGGUGGCCCUCCCGGUCUUCAACACCGAGGUGCCCGAGGAUCUCGGGCAGGUGGGUUCGAUUCCCAUCCGCCUCCGC